UCACAUGAUAGGAACAAGUCAGAGUUGC
rnacentral:piRNA from 1 species